UACAACAUAUCUUUAAUGUGUUGGAUCCCAUUAGAACUCCACAGUUAAGCGUGCUUGAGCUAGAGUAGUACUAGGAUGGGUGACCGCUCAGGAAGUCCUAGUGUUUUAC
rnacentral:rRNA from 1 species